CCCACAUCGGUAAUUAAAAUAAAUAUUCUUGCAUUUAUAACCAAAGACACAACACAGUAAAAUGUGUUCGUGAAAAGGAGAGAUGGUUGGCAUCUCCCCUGACAGGGAUGGGAACAGCUUUCGGGCUUUCCUGUUAACACAUCCGGUAAAGGCUCCCCCCUUGUGGGAUCUAUAACCCAAUUUUUAACCCAAUUUUUUUUCAAUCUGAUUCGCCAGGUGACAUCACAGUUGAAGGAAAUGGUUGGGAUUACAUAUUCAUAAAGAACUGUUAUUGUGCAUCUGAUAUCAAGAAAUAUGUGUCUAACACUGCCUACACUGUGAAAUCCAAUAAAGGGUUUGUGGAUGAUUUGGUUAUGGAUGCAUAGGAUGAGUUUAUUUUGCUUCCCUACACUUCAAGUAGGACAAGGAAUGGGGCUGUUAUAUCACUGAAUUUGUUUUGAGGCUGUUCCAGUGGACUGAGGAACUAUUUGUUGAGUUAUGUGUUGAGAGAUUGGAACAGUGUUGAAUCUUUGGCACGCAGAUCUGGGGUUAGUAAGGAUAGUAUUUAGGCUGUGAAAUGUGAAUGGUCUUGAUGGCCUGAUAGGAUUAGUUUUUCCUUCAUUGCAAUCUUAUUCAAUUAUUUUUCUUAGAAUUUGCCUGUUUGUAUGAUUAUGUAUUUGUGUUAAUAUGUUUGAGAGGGAUGCUUUGGUUGA